rnacentral:rRNA from 1 species
GGUCAAGCUACAAAGGGCUCACGGCGGAUACCUUGGCACACAGAGGCGAUGAAGGACGUGGUUACCUGCGAUAAGUCUCGGGGAGCUGGAAACACGCUUUGAUCCGGGAAUUUCCGAAUGGGGCAACCCCUAGAACGGCCAGCUGAAUCCAUAGGCUGGCGCGAGCCAACCCAGCAAACUGAAACAUCUUAGAGCGAGAAGAA